CAAACAUUAUGAUACUUAGUUUUGUCAAAAUUUCCCUGAAUUUCAUCUCAUUGUCUACUUUGAAGAGUGAAAUUUGUUUUACCUCACUUUUGCCACAGGUAAAUAUUUAUACUGAAAGUCAGAGAAUUAAAACAGUUCCAAAGUAGAAAACUCUCAUUCAUCUAGUUUAAACUAGAUACAGUAAUAUUUUAAUUGAAUUGAAUUUUCACUAUGUUUCAUUAUUUACUCACAGAAACAAUGCUGUCAAAAUGAAGGUAGCAAGGAAAAGUAGAAGUCUGGAAGCCGUGUGACACAGGAGAGCCAGUGAUUAACGGAAGGAUGUGGAGAAGAACUUACCUGUAUGAGCAAUGCAACCAUCAUCUUCCCAUCAGCUCCUGGGCAUGAGAGAAAUGACUUUGACAAGGUAAGUAAGAUCUUGAGCUGACGCGUAUGCAAAUGCAUAAAGCUCAGGUGACAUUCUAGAUAAAUAAAAGGUCUGUAGUAAGUUUCAAAAGGAAGAGUGGGAGUUGGAAAGAUGGUUCACUGAUUAAAAGUGUGCACUGCGCUUCCAGAAGUCCUGCGUUCAGUUCUCGGCAGCUGUGUCAGGUGCCUGUCACUCCAGCUCCAGGAGAUCUGACAUUCUCUUCUGGCCUCCUCAACACCUGCACACAUGCACACAUGCGGUACUCACACAUACUC
rnacentral:lncRNA from 1 species